AAUUAGUAAAGAGACCAGUUAACCGUCAUUAAUGUGCAUAUAAUAACGACGGGUUUUAAAACCUUCGUCGAGUGAUUACAAAUAUUAGAAAAAUAAUAUGAGAUGGAAUAACGGAUUUCUAAUCCCUUCAUUGAUUUGAUUCUAAUACGUUAUUUGGUCUCCUUAAAAGAUCGAAGGGUCCACAUCAGUAAAAAUUCGAGUACCGCGGGCUUCAAUUUUUCAAGUUCCGCAGCCCCAAAUAUUUCUCCCCUUAUUUAUCAAAAUCUCUCUCAAAAUUUUCAUCCCUCUUCUCUCUAAAACUUCCAAACCUUGAGCUUACCUGCUCCCUGUCGCCGGCCGCAUCCCCCCUUCAUCGACGGCGUCUACGUCCUCAUCAUCAUCAUCAUCAUCAUCAUCAUCAAUGUCCACCGCCAUCUCCGGCUCUUCAAACCCUAACUCCUCAUCGACACUGACUGUCAACCCUCUUCCUCACUGACCGCCGACUAAUGGUUCGACUUGAAGGAAGAUCAUGAUCAAUCGUCUCCAUUUUGAUCAAAGGAGGAGGAGAUUAGGAUCAAUUGCUUAAGGUUUAACAGAUUUAUCCAUAUCAAGGUAUUUUUCUUGCACACCAGGUGUUUGAUUUUGUUUGUUAUUUCUCUUAGGUUUUGAUUUUUGAUGCAAGUCAUUCUUUUGUUGUUUUGGUGAUGAUUUUUGUGGAAAUUGUAGUUAUUUGAGGAUUCCUUUGAAUGUGAUUCCAUCAAAAGCUCUCCAUCAUGCAGAUCCCACCGCCAAACGGCACAAGGUCAACAACCCUUGAGGUACUAUUUUGAUGUAGCUUUUUAUUUAAUUCUUGACUGGGUAUGAAUUUAUAGCAUUCAUCCUAGUAAAGGAGAAAACCUACACAAUUUUUUUUUUUAAAUUUUCCUGACUAAUUUAUAUUUCGUAUUAAAUUGUCUCAAAGUUGAGGGAUUGCACAGGUCUUGUAUUAUUUUGGUUGAUGAAUAUGAUGAAAUUGUUACUUUAGAUAAGUUGACUUUCUCUGAAUUUUCAUUUCACCCAAUUAAAAAAAUGCGGGGACAUUGAAUUCUUUAUUGUGACAAACACCAAUUUCAAGUUCUUAUUAGCAAGAUUUGGUUGUAAGAAUUUUUAUCAGUUGGUGGAAAGAGAGGGAACUUUGGUGAGAAUUAGAAGUGAAAAUAGACAAUAUCUCAUCAUUUGAAAAAAGACAUUUUGGGUGAGUAUGGACAAUUUUUCAUCUUCUAGUUUCUUUUUAGUUAUAUUAUAUGUCUUUUGAUUUCAUGGUGCCUUUGGUUAAUCUGGAUUAUUGCUUGUCGAUUAUCUACUUUUCGCUACUCAAACUAUUCUAUUUUUUGUUAGUCGAUUGCUUUAAGCUGAAUAUAGAAACAUCAUUAACUGCAUUGUAGUUCUGGAAAUUUGUUUAAGUUAAUUGUUAUAUAUAAGAUUUAUUUUGAAAAUAAACUCGUCAUAUGAUAUCCUUAAAUCUGUAAUUAAAACAUUAAGAUAAUUGAAUGGCGAGAUUUUUAAAACCAUGCGAUGUAGCGUGUUUGUAGGAAGCAAAUGAGCAUUAACUUCUGAUGUAGCUCCAAGUUUUUUGUAAUUUUGACUUGCUUAAUUGCACUAUAAACAGUUUUUGAAUAUAGGUACCCUGUACUGAAUUCAGUCAUAAAUGCAUUUCAGAAGUAGGACUACGACCUACACAUGUUAAGGAUACAUGAAAGAGCCAAUCGAUAGUUGUAUGUAUAAAAUCCUACAAAUUGAACGCUACUUCACACCUUACAUGUUUUUUCCCCUCUUCUACUAGCCGUUAGCACACAUUUUCUCGUUAUGUUUUUUCUUUUUACCUAUGAAAUUGAUUUGGGAUCCUAUGUAAAAAAUAGCAUCACAUAGUUUUAAAUACAACAAGAUCUGAUUACUCCUUUUGUUGAAUUUGAACUUGCUUCACUUGAGAUAAUAUUUUUAUCUCUUAACUAUUUCCCAGGUUCUGAAAUUCCUAUUGCUUGUGCCUUGUAAUUGAACUCUUCAUAUUGCAAUAUCAGGGGACGCAUAUAAUUGGUUUCUUGUUUGCACCUAUUAUUAUAGUGUGGCUCUUAUCAUCAGCGGAGUUGGUGCGUACAACAUUUUGCUCUGGCAUCACCAUGUUGUUGUAGUUCUUUCCCCUUACUACAUGUUUAAGUUUAUGACAUUGCAAAUUAGAGCUCACUAGGUGGUGUGGUUUUAUGCAUUGCAGGUUAUUUUUAUAGCUCAGAAUACCCAAUGAUUUGAUUUAACAUAUAGGAAGUUAUUUAAGGUUUAGUUUGCAGUGCUUGAGGCAACGUUUGUGGACCCAUGUCACUUCUCAAAGAGAUCAAUCAAGGUAUGAUCCACUUGAUUCACAAAGUGCUUGAAGGUUUUUUUUCAUUUGUAUCUCAACAAAACAGAUACAUAGGGAAACUUGUUGUAUCGUAUAUUAAGCUUUCGGAUAUAAUCCAUCCGUGAUGCCAGUUUUUGAACAGAAGCCUGCUAAGUUGAAUUUGGAUAGCGUACAGAAAAAGAGUGGAUGCAGGGGAAGCAGCAGUGGGAGUGAGCCUGCAUUGUAAAAGCCUCGAGUAGAAGCACCAUCGCCUUUGCCAACCUUUAAAGGUUUUUAUGGUUGUAGGUUAGAAAAGAGAAAUUAGGGGACAUAAUCACCACACUCCAACAACUAGUUUCGCCUUUUAGAAAGCUCUUGAGCACUCCAUACUUGAAGAAUGGGCAUCCCGUGCAACAUCAACAGGCUAUCCAUAUGCAAGACUAGGAGAGGGGGUAGCUCAAGUCUUCUUUUUUACAUUGAUUAGAUAUGAAAAUAUGUUUCUUUCUGUAACUUUCACUUUAAUUUGCUUUUGAUAGUUUCAUGUAUUUUUCUUUGGAACAAUUAGGAUAUUAACUCUUGUUAUUAGUAUUGAAUAUUUGAGAAU